rnacentral:lncRNA from 1 species
UUUAUUUUUCAGGUGGACAUAUUUAGGGAUGCUGCAAGUCUUAUGGUUAACUACAUUGAUGAAAUUCGUGGUCAAGGCUUUGAAGUUGAUUACCUCAACAUUGGAGGUGGUUUGGGCAUAGAUUACUAUCACUCUGGUGCUGUCCUACCCAAGCCAAGGGAUCUUAUAAACACUGUGAGUAUCUCAUCAUUGAAACAAUUGUAUGGGGUCAGAUUUUAUGUAUAUGUACCUAAGAAACCAUGCUUCUGUGGACAUUUAAUGAUCGUCAACUAGACAGCCAUUGUGAAAACUGCUCGCCCUUCAAUGUUGAAUUCUUUUGAAUAGCCAAAUCAUACUGUUAUAUGCAAGAGAAUCAAGGAAAUUAUGAUUCUUCUGAAAGUUGUAAACUAAUCUUAGUUACUAGAAUGUAAAAUUUGUGGUAUGCUAAGUAAGUCAUGUUUGUUGAUGUAGGUUCGUGAAUUGGUGCUCUCGCGGAAUCUCAAUCUCAUCAUUGAGCCAGGGAGGUCCCUUAUUGCCAACACCUGCUGCCUCGUAAAUAGGGUUACUGGCGUCAAGACUAAUGGAACCAAAAAUUUCGUCGUAAUAGAUGGCAGCAUGGCAGAGCUCAUCCGUCCUAGUCUCUAUGAUGCUUAUCAAGUAAGAUAUAGCAAUUAUUAUUUCUAUUGUGUUUUGAAUAUUGAGCUACCAUAAUAUGCAAUGCCGUCCCUCUGCUCUUUAAAGUAGAAAGCUGUCUUAAAUUUACAUUUAUUGCAACGAAUGCAGCACAUAGAACUCGUGUCUCCCUCGCCGCCAAAUGCUGAGGUGCAAACCUUCGAUGUGGUGGGUCCUGUGUGCGAGUCUGCCGAUUUUCUGGGGAAGGAGAGAGAACUUCCUACUCCAGCCAAGGUAAACCUUUUUAUUGUCCAGCAGCUGGAAUGCUUUGGAUUAUCUGAGUAAUGAGUUCUGUAUAUUGUUGCAGGGAGAUGGUCUGGUUGUUCAUGAUGCGGGAGCUUACUGCAUGAGCAUGGCAUCAACAUAUAAUCUGAAGAUGCGCCCUCCAGAGUACUGGGUAUGGAAUACCAAGCUAUACUAGUACACUACCUUUUCGACGCCUUUCUACGCGACCAAUUCAUUAAAACUGAAAAAUAAGCUAGGAAAUGAAUUGCAAUGAAAUUGAGUUGUUAGAAUAUGUGUUUGCUGUUCAGGUGGAGGAAGAUGGAUCAGUAGCCAAGAUCAGGAAUGCGGAGACAUUUGAAGACCAUAUUCGAUUUUUUGAUGGCCUAUAAUUCGGGAUUUUGGUUUGAGUAAAGAAGGCGGGAGCCGGGGAAUGGAGCUCUGGAUGUGUCAAUUUGAGUAGUAAGCUUUGCAUUUUCUGCGAGGUAGUAGAACUCAACUUGUGCUGAAAGGUGGAUGGAUUGGUUAAACUUAUAAACUGUAGGUAAAACUAAAAGGGAUUGGAUAUAAGGGAAAGAUCUAUUACCUAAUUCACAUGUUCAUGGUAUCAUUCUAUUAGUGAAACCAAACUAAUCUGUUUUGAUGAAAUGCUUGGUUUGGCAUUAAGAAUUACAUGAUGUUAUUGGAGACUAGUCGAGUAGAAACGUAAUUUUUUUCGUUAAAUAGCUAUAACAUUGAUUCCGUUUCUAUCGGAAUAAAAUAAUGAUAAGAUUUUCACCGAAAAUUUCGCCUUCCAAAUGGAACCCAAAACUUUGAAACUAGUUUCUGCGCUAGUAGGUUGGGGCACAAAGAAUAAAUAAUGCGAAGUCUAGUUGAACAAGUAGCUUCCAGUUUCCCAACAGAGUGUAGGUGAAAGAGUGGAGAAUUAGAAUAUUUGGAAAUUUGGGACAAAUGCUUUCUACAUUCCAUUUGGCAAUCUCCCAAUAUCAAGCAUAUCUCCCAAGUUGAAUCAAUCAAACAAAAUCAAAGUAUAGGAAUUUGUACCACUCCAUAAUUCUAUACCGACAAGUUGAGGAACCGGGUAGGCUGAGAUGAGAUCACUUGGGGUUUUUUCCAAGUUUAGUGUAGUUUUUGCUACAUGAGGCUUGAAUGAAACUGGGGUUUUGGUUGAAAUGGUAAAUUCAAUCAGAGUUGGCACAGUUGUUAAAAAGAAGAAAGACAGAAAUUCAGAAGAUGACAUUGCUGAUGAUAGCUCAUGAGGCUGCUCAAGCAACCAUCUGAGUCAGGAAUCAAAGACAGCAUGAGCCCCUUUUUCUGCGUGCAGGCUCCUCCAUGGAUUGAUUGCCUCUCCCACUACAAAAAAAUAUCACUAUCCCUUUCUGCUUUUGGAUCCCCUUCUGUUUCUGUCUGAAUCCCAUUGUCCAAUGAACAGUUCUGGGAAUCUUAUAGCAGAAUGAUGGUGUUUUAUCUUUUCCUUUCCACUUUGUGGAACAGAAUGUGAAUCUAAAUCUGACACCUCAACAUCCAUUCCAUUCCAUUCCUCUUUUAUCCCAUCAAAGCUUGGCAACUGCUGUUUCAAUUUCAAAAUUCCCACUCCCCAGUACAGUUGAAAUUUGGGGUUAAUCUUUUCAGUAAAGGAAGCAAGUUAAAUGGAGCAAGUUACAAACUUCAAAUUCUUACACUGCUUAUCUGAUUUACCAUAGCAAUGUACAAAAACCAUUCAACAGGAUGUUCAUCCGGGGAAAAAAGAUAAAAAGGUAAAAAAAAAACAGGGGAAUUUCAACUUCUACAUCUGCUCAUCCAAGAUAAAUUUUCAGGCCACAGAUACAGAAACCUCUUGUUCAUCUUUUCGAAACCUCUUUUGCCUUUCAAUGAAGGCAUCCACUGCACUCUUGAACUCCUCGUUGCUCAUGUCGUCCUCUGGAAACAAAUCCUUCUUUUUGCUCAAUUUCUCCGUUGCAGACCGCCUCAGUUCCUUUUCCGGCUUCCUGCUAAUAACCAACUUAUCUGACUUGCUCCUCUCGUAACUCUUUACGACUCUUGACGAAACAGGAUGAUGCUCUUCUUUCUUGACCACCAAGCUAUCACUCUGUUUUCUUCUGCUUUUCACUUCUUCAACUCUCUGAACCGAAGCAAACGCCUGCUGACCGCUAUUUCCGCUCAUCUCCACAAAUUCCUCGUAAAUAUCUGAUCUUGCGCUGAUGCUUCCUUUUCCUCCUUCUUCUUCUUGGCUGCUGCGGGAGAGCUGACCGGACUUGAUGAAGAGAACUACCACGAUGGCAUUCCCUACCACGAACACAAACCUGGGGCUGGCGAGGACGACUAAGAAGUCCUUGAAAUACUCCACGGAGCUCUUAAAAGCGGCCGGAAGGAGUUGAAUCGAACAGCUCGAGACCACGGCCAGGAAUACCAUGAUUUCCAGCGCUCUCAACAGUUUGGUGAUCUUCUGGAAUUUCUUGUGCUUCUUGACCGCCUUUGCUUUCAGGGUCUUCAGAUUAUUGGCGUUCAAAGAGUCCAUUUUGUUUUGAAAUAAGAAACUGUGACCAAAACAAACAAAGAACUUUUAAUCUUGUCCUUCUAAAGGUUGGAUUUUUUUGCUUCACUCGAGAGCAAAUGGGUAACAACAAUCUCGCCAGGAAGAGAGGAGACAGAGGAAAACACCAGGACGGAUGUGGAAGAUUUGGUCCCAGAAAUCAUAGAACGAAGUAGGUGGAGGCAGACAGAGUACUAGAACAGAGGAUGCUCUGUUUUUUGGUUGUUUGAGUUGAGUGAUGUCUGUGGGCUCUGUUUUGCUGCUUGGAAGCUUUUAAGUUGUGAGAAGUGGUGUAUCAUAUAUAUAUGGUGGAGGUGGGAGUGGGUAUCUGGCAUGAUAUUCUUUUAAAUUUUAAUAUUGGGAUUGUGUAUCAGUAGGUUAUAUCAUUUUAACGAUUCUGUUUCACUUUCUUGUGGAUUUAAUUAUACUUUUUUUGUAUAGUUAUUAAUACCAGUUUAUUAUACUUUCGAAGGAAAGGCAUUGUGUUCCCCAAAUUCCUCUGUAGUCCCUUAUUGGAGUUGUGGAGUGUCAUUUUCUCCUUCAACUAUGCUACUUUAUUUCUUUGUAUUAUUGGGGUUUUCUUCUUUUCGGUUGUAACAGUAAGGCCAGUUGUUAUCUCAAGGAUGAUUCACCAUUGGCAUCUAAUCUGAAGCCGAAUGGCAAACAGAAUGAAUUCCUAUUUCCAGACUUCAUGCAUCAUCAUUCGAUUUUUAUCUGCAAUCAAUGAAGUUCUCUGUGAAAGUGUCCUUUCUUUCGAGCCUGUGGGUGCAAACAGCUGGCUUCCCUCCUAAUCUGCUCAUCUCAACUACUUCCUGCUAAUAUGUUAUCAAUGCUGAUGAAAAACUGAGCAGUGCCAUAGAUUGUAGUCUACCCUUUAAAGUUGUUACAUAAUUUCCAUCUUCCAGAUUAAUUUCUUAAGUCCAAAUGGAGUGGCUCGGUAAAAAAGCUAGCUUUAUUUCAAGAUUUGUGUCAACGAUGUUAAGAGGAAACCGAUAGUCAAUCCAAAAUCAUGACUUGUUUCUUAAACGAGGUGAUAUGAUAUUCAAACCUUUUAUAACCAGGUGUGGUGCUCUUAUGUUUCAAAGCACAGAGGUUAGAGUUUAGUUUUUUUUUUAUCGAGGUAGAUCGAGACUUUCGGUCAAUACAAGGUAGACGAUCGGAAGUAAACAUAACAUUGAUGUCCAUUUCAUAUGGGGUGUUGCUGGAUUUUAACUCAGAACCUCCAAAUUAUCAAAUAUAUGGCUCUAUCGUCAAAGCAACUCUUAGUGUAUCGAUUUUGAAAAAAAACGGCUACCACAUUCAAUUAUAUGGGAAUUUACUAUUUUUGUAUUUAAUGAUUUAGUGAAAAAUAGCGGAGGCCCAUAACCAAAACAAACAAGAGAAGGGGCCCGCUGAAUUAUUUAAAAAAGAGAAAGAGAAAGGGAAAGGGCCCACAUGAAAAGCCCAGACGGAAGUGCAACCACGAACCCACCCACCUCAACUCAUUAGCAAUUCCCAUUUCCUUCCAUACGAAGAAAAGUAGAAAUACAGUUGAGUCUUAACACACAAUUUCUAAAGCCAAACUGAGACUUGGCACUUCUGCCAUCCUAAUCCACCACUACGAUCAUCAAAUGAUAAACAAAUUAAUAGUACAACCCUUUAAUCAAUACCCUCUCUUUUUAGUUUGGAAGUACUUUUCUUUUAUGUUGGUGAUUGGUGGGUGAAAUAAUUCUUUAUUCAAAUCCUUUUAUCUCGGAGUAAUUUGUUAUAUCCGUGGUUUUUUUUUUUUGCCAUGUUGGACGAUCAUUCUUCGUAAGGCUUGGUUUGGGGUACUAUGUCGAAGUUGGCUUUUUGUCUCUUGUUGUUAUGUAAUUGUUCACGGACCUAAUUAAGUGAUCAAUAUCGUACGUCAUGAAUUUUUAUUUUGUCAUGCUUAAAUCCAUUAAUUAUUCAAAACAUAACUAAAACAAAAACAUUCACGGAGAAAUUAAAAGAAGUGGAGAAUUAAAUAAAAGAUAAUUACAAUUUUUCUAUAGGAUUUUUAUGAUCCAUAUUUAAAAUGAUGUAUGGAGGGUGGGGAGUGUAUAAGUAGUUUGUGAUUGGAUAAGGGUUAGGACUUUAGCAACUUUGUGCACUAAUAAGUGGUCACCUAAUUAGUUAGAUUCUCUUUGACUUAUAAUUGAUUCAUCAUUUAGUUACAAUUUAUCAAUAACAUUGGACACUAUACCACCUAGGAGUGGAAGCUGAUUGGGCUACACCAAGGACAAAGAUUCAGAUGCUAACAAAUAUAUUCUAUUAUUCUUAAGUAUAUAAUGUGCAGGUUCUUCAAGUAAUAAUAAUUUGAUUAUAAUCUUUAUGUUACUUAAGGAGGAAACCGACCUUAGCUCAGUUGGUAGAGCGGAGGACUGUAGUUGUAGACAGCAUAUCCUUAGGUCGCUGGUUCGAAUCCGGCAGGUCGGAUAUUUUGCUUUUAUUUAUUUUUACUGCCAUUAUUAAUGGUACAGCUCAGCUAAGCUGCCACAAGCUUUCUCUCUGAACUCCCAAGUACAGGCUUAUUACGUCUUCAGUUUGGGUCUGUUGAUUUUUCACUUGUAUAAUCUUUGUUGCUUUACUGUAAACUAGAUUGCCAGCAGAAGUUCUGUAAUUAUAUAAUUCAGCUUCCCAGUUCCCAUAGUCGACAUGAUGAAAAUCCCAAGGGACGAUUACGACAAGUCCAUCCAAGUCGUUGAAAAGACCACAAAUGUUGGUUGGAGAGCUUCAGCAGCUGUUAGCUUGGUUCGAACUGACCAUAGUUUGUAUGGAAAUGUAAGGGUUGCUAAUUGUUUGUAGUGAAAUGUUUGUUGGAGAUUCUUGUCUUGUUUAUUUUCGACAAAAUGAAAAAAAAAGUGUUGUUGUUGAUCAUUAUUGUUGUUAGUAUUUUACAUGGAUGUACUUAUUUUUUGAUCUGCUUAUUUAAUAUAAAUUUAUGUUGAGAUUUUGUAUUUACAGUUAUGAGUACAAAGUCAAACGAUGCACUCUGUUCAAUGAAUAUGUGUGUACGCGCAUUCAGUGACUUGUUAGUUCUUAUAUGUAAAUGCGUUGUUAUAUUUUAAUCGAUUUUUUAUUAGUAUUUUGUCUGUCUUUUUUAUUAAACAGACAUGAUUGGGGUGGCUUUCCUCGUUUUAUUAAUGAUUAAUUGAAUGGGCGCUCUUCAAAGUUUACAUUAAUAUUUUAUCGUCUUUUACAAUUUGUUGUGUAUUUUGUUUUCACUUUUUUUAAAAAAAGUUGAGGGGAAAUUUUUGUCUAUGGUCUCAAUGGCCUUACGAGGUCGUGAAGAGUUUCACGGUCUAUAUCGAGUCAUUAGAGCUGGUCAAAAGAAGAAGAUGAAGGAAAAUGUCAACUAGGAGGUGGAUAUAUUAUAAAACCAAAUUAUUAUUUAUACAAAUAAUAAUUAGUGAAGUACAUUAGGAAACUAGAAUGAGAAUGGUAACUAAUUAUUGAUCUGGUUUUACCAAUCCAUGAAGUAGAUUUAUUAUGUGCUCAUCGCAUUCUUUGUCUAAACUAAUAUCCGAAUAACUCAAGAAUUCAUUGUUAUAAAUUUCACAUUCUCAAAAUAUUGGAGUAUGGGCACCAAAUCCUCAACCUCGUUGUGACUCGUAAAUGUGAAACAUUUGUUGACGUAGAGGCUCAGACGAGCUAGACAAUGGACGUUCACGAUCUUUUCGAAAUGAGGAAGAUCAAAACGUAAGAAACCGAGAGUGAACGACUCGAGUUUCGGUGCAUCUAUUUCGAUCUCAAGUGCGGGUCGAUUAUUAUAAUUAGAAUUGCCUCCGAGCUCCAUGCUAAGAAAUUUGAGUCCAGAAACCUUCAGAUUAAUACCAGGAAGAUGCUUAAAGUCACACAUUGGCAACAUCAACAAUAACUUCUAUUCGAUUCCACAGUUGAAGAACUUCACAACAUCUCCGAGGGCAACCUGUUAGAAGACUAGUACUCCAUAAGCAGUUCAGACUUCCAGCCUUGAACAAUAGUGAUCCGCCUCUCAAUCUGAUUCAAGGAUAUCAACCAAAAUCUCUUAUCCAUCAUAAGAAUCCUCUGUCAGCUGACCAACACCCCUUAAAAUCAUGCCCUCAAGAAUGCCAUCUUUCAGCCUGUUAGAUACAUCAAACGCCGGGGUGUAGAUUUCAUAAUUUCACUUUACGGGGCACACACCCACAUUUACUUUGGAAUCUUAGAAUCUCCCUUGCAAAUUCAUGAUUACCAGUUAACGAGAGCCCAUUAAGAAUCCGAUUGAAAGUAAAUCUUCUAGGUACAAAUCCUCGAUCAACCAUCUCCAUCAACAACCUCCCAGCAAGCAACAGAUCAUCAGAUUUCUUCCUCACAAACAUUGCACUUAUCAAGAUGUUGUAGGUAUCCAAAUUCGGCAAGCAAUCUCCACUGCUCAUUUCACGAAACAAGCUCAACCCCUUCUCGAUUUCCCCAGCCUCACAUAAGUAGCGGAUCAUGACAUUGCAGGUCUGCAAAUUCGGGCCACAACUACUACUACCAUCUUUCAUUUUCCCCAAGAACUGCAUCGCCUUGUCAAAUUCGCCAGCGUGGCACAACCCUCUAAUCACCACGGCAUAAGUUGUCGUGUUCGGUACAUAACCUUUCCUCACCAUCUCUUCGAAAACCAACAAAGCAUUCGCUACACUAUCCUUCUUGCACAAAACCUGAAUGAACGCAUUGUAAGUUUCCACAGAAGGAAGAACUCCUUCCUUCACCAUGCAAUUAAAAACAUUCCGAGACCGGUUAAUCUCCCCUGCAACACCGAGCCCAUGGAUCACAGUAGUGUAAGUAACAACAUCAACCUCCCAUUUCCUCUUCUUCAUUUCUGAGAAGAACCUGCAACCUUCCUCAAUCUGAGCAGCUCUAAAAUAGCCUCUAACCAGUGUAUUAUAAGUGGUCAAAUUCGGACUUACCCCUCGAUCCACCAUCUCCUUCAUCACCUCCAACGCUUUCCCAGUCCUCUUUAUCAAACACCAACCAUUCACAAUUAUAUUGUAGCUAACACAAUCAGCUUUGAACUUCCCUCUUAAUGCCUUGAACAGAUUAUAAGCCAUUUCCACAUGUUUCGACUUGCACAGCACAUCAAGAAGCACAUUAAAAGAUUUCAGAUCAGGGAACCACCCGUAAUCAUUCAUAGUCAAGAAGAUAUCCACAGCCUUAUGAGGUCUUUUUGCAGAAGCAUACCUCUCAGCAAUAAUGGCGUAGGUUUUGUGGGAAGGGCCAAUCUUUGCUUUCCGCAUCCGGGAGACAAGAGUCCAUAGGGUCCGGAAAUCCCGGAGGCGAGCGGAGAUGUCGAUGGCGUGGUCGUAUGAAGAAGGGUGGUGCAUGUAGGAAGGGUGGUAUGUAAGCAAGUGGAAGAAUUCUAGAGCUUUGGGGCCGUGGUUCCAGAGGUGUUUGAUGACGGAGUUCACAAGCUCCGGGCACCAUUGAAUGGUUGGAGAGUGGAGGCUUUGGGCUAAGGUUUGUUUGUUCGACGAAUUGAGGAUUAGGGAAGUCAGAGAAGCGACAUCAGCUGCCGGAGCUGGGACGGCGGCUGGCGUUUGGGCUUUGUUGCGCGGGUCUGAUGGGCUAAGAAUCAGGGAACUCAAGGGAAUAUGAUUCCUUGAAGGCUGCUGAUCGUCGGUGAGGGUGGCGAAGUUUCCCGAUGAAGGAAGACGACUGGGGAGAAUCCAGGCGCGGCGGUGGUUCGCGGCGGCGAACCGAAUAAGCAUGCCCGGCGAAAAUGUCUCCGAUUUACUGGGUAGGGGUGUACGUAGUGAUUCGAAAUUAAAUGGAUUCAAUUCAUUUGCAAGGUUUUAGCUGAUUAGCCCUGUAUGGAUAAAUGUCCCAGAAGUGAAAAUUGGAGCAACCUGUCUAGUAAAGCCCAAGCCCAAUAGUCUUGACAGACACGUGGGAGUCAGGGUCGUGUUCCACGUAUAUCAUCACCCCAGGUUGCAGUUAACACUUAACAGUAAACAGAGAAGAAUAUGAACAAAGGCUAUUAUGCGGAAAGGUUUCUGGACAUUAGAAGAGAAAGGAAAAGAGAGAAUGGAAGUUGGAGGAGGAGAAGAUGAUGGAAUGAAGAAGCCGGAUAUUCUGGAUUCAAACUUCAUGACAGAUCUUAAACAACAACAACAACUACAAACAACCCACACACAAAAGCAGCUCGAUUCAGGGGCUGCCCUUCAAGCAUUUCUCGAUCACAUUCCCAUCAAUGCCAUCCCUGGCAUUCAAAACUCUUCUUCUGGUGCGUCUUGAUAUUUUCCUUGUUCGCAUUCCCCGGUACAAUUUAUCUUAUCAAAGUUUCAAACUUUUUUUUGUUAAUCUCUCAAGUUAUGGAGGUGAAAGCUGGAGAGGCGGUGGAACAAGCAAUAGAGAUGCUAUACAAGAAGAACGUGUCCGGCGCUCCAAUUGCAGACUUAAUCGACUCUGAGAGCGUGAGCGGGAGGGUUUCAGAUCGAUACAUGGGUUUCAUUGAUUUCGCCAGGAUGCUUCUUUGGUGUUUCCACAAAUGUGAUUAUAACCCUCAAAAUAAUCACACCACCACCAAUGUUCACGACAGCUUUUUCGCAAUGCUCCACCACAAUCCUGACAUUGCAGAAACAAAGGUAUUUUUAUCUAUUAACCCUUUUGGGACAAUACAAGAAAACUUCCAUAUACAAACUUACCUUUGGAAAUGAACCACAAAAGCACAGGUGGGAGAGUUGGCAAAGUCGUUUCUAUGGGAUCCAUUUUUCCCAGUUCAUCUGGAAGAUACCUUGUUCCAUGUGCUGCUGCUUUUCUGCAAGCAUCAGCUCCAAGUAGUUCCUGUGGUGGUGAAAUCCGAGCUUCAAGUCAUUGGCUUUGUCACUCAGGCAUCAUACUUCAAACCCUACCUUUUCUUUUAAUUUUUUGGGUUUCUUUCAUCAGUUGCAUCAUAUGAUUAAUUGGUGGGGAUAAGAUUGUUUUUUUGGCAGAAUGCAGUGAUUCAGUUGCUGCUUCAAUCGGCCGGACUUGAAUGGUUCGAUGCCAUUGCUGACAAGCCUUUAUCAGAAUACCGGUACGCUGAACAUCACUAAUGCUUUGAUGACUUGCAUUCACAUCUGCCAUCGAAUGAUUAGAUUUAUAUAUAUGUUCGAUUUUUACUUAGAGAGGAGCAUCUUAUAACUGUUUGCGGAGAGCAGAGCUUAUCAGAAGCUCUUCACCGACUAUGGGAAAGCCAAAUCGGUGUCGUAGCAGUCGUAAGCCGAGGGAAUGGGAGUGUUAUAGGCUGCAUCAGGAACAGUGAUGCUUAUCUCCUUGUCGAGAAUAACAACUUAUUCAGCAACAGGAAGUAAAAUCAAUAAACUUGCCCCUAUUUUGUCCAUUAGAAUUGGAAGACUAGAGCUUUUUCCUUCUUGCUUGAUGGGUUAAUUAUGCCUUCAACAACAGGACCAUAACAGCAGAGGAAUUCAUUCACACGGAGCCAGCAGCAGAUGGUGAUGAUCCGAUCAUCGAGCGAGACCUCGGAGCGCUCCUUUCGGCAGGGACUCUCAAAUUGAAGAACGCAUUUCUUCCGAAGAUGGAUUCGGUAGUCACCAACAAAAGGAGCGACACGUUGAAGCAUGCCAUGGUGGAGAUGGCAAGGACAAACAGCAGCUUCAGCUUCCUGGUCGAUGGGUCUAAUAAUCGGCCCACUGGGGUCCUCACUUUGCGAGAUGUGAUCGUUCAGUUUGCUCCACCGUGUAUGGAUUCCAGCUUCCAAGGAGGUGGGUUCUUCGAUUUUGCACUGGAACAAGCGGGUUGCCAUGAGAAGAAUGGGACUGUUGUGUGUAAUCGACAAGCUUCGUCUUCUGUUAGACUUGUAAAAGCAACUGAUGCUGCUGCAUCUUCUAACUAGAGUAUAUGUCGUUUUAAGUUAACAAACGGGCGUUCCAUACAUUUGAGCAACUCAAAUGUAUGUAUUCUUACCCCAAACAUAUCUACAAGCAGCUCAUACGUAUGUAUUCUUGUCUUCAACGUAUUGAUCGGCUCCUAUGUCAGAUUUCUUGUAUGUUGGAAUUAGAAUUAUUCGCAUGAUGUUGUGGAUGAUGUUGCGGAAAAUGAAUAGAUGGAGAUAGAUAAUUUUUUUUAUAUGUGUAAGCAAAAUGAAAGCGUGAGAUAAUUUAAAAAGAAUGGAAGAUUCAAAAAGAGUAAUAUGUGAGCUCAAAAUAAAGCAUUCAUAUAAACUUAAAAUAAAGUCCUAAUAAACGCAAAAUAAAAUUCAGUAAUAUUAAAAUAAAGUUCCGGUAAACUCAAAAUAANNNNNNNAUAAAAUCAUUAGAGAACCAAAAACUAUUCAUUCAUUAGUUAGUAAUUCAUGUUCUCCUUUUAUAGAUAGAAAGUUUUUUUUGUUAUAGAGAACGUAGUAGCAAAAAAAGCGCGAGACAAUUUAACGUAUGUCAAUUGAAAAAUGGAAAAUAGCAUAAGACCCAUAAAGGGUAAUAUGCGAACUUAAAAUAAAGCCUCGUAAAGCCAAACUAAAGUCCAGUAAAUACAAAAUAAAGUCCAGUAAAAGUNNNNNNNNNNNNNNNNNNNNNNNNNNNNNNNNNNNNNNNNNNNNNNNNNNNNNNNNNNNNNNUCAUAAAAAAGAACCAAACAUUAUUUUUUAAUAGUAAUUCAUGUUCUCAUUUUAUAGAGCCAUAAUAAACAAAAUAUCAUGAGAUGAGACAUGGUAAUAGAACCUCCUAACGUAGGAAUGGUUGGUGCGAAAUGCAAAAAAUAGAUUUAACACUUCGUAACGUAGGAAUGACAUAUUGCAUCGUAUACGAAUCUAGUAUUGUGUCUUGUAAUAACUAAUUACUUGAGGAAUCAUAAAAAUAGUGGAAACGUAGUAAUAAACAUCUUGUACGUAAAGUUUUUGAAUACUAUCAAGAUUGGUAUGGUUGGAUUUUGUCUUUGAAAGUUGAGUACUUUCCAUGUCAGAUAAAUAAACAUCGUACUUAGAUAUGCUCGAAGACAAAAAAAAAACAAAUAGCAAUGUGCUAAUUACCCGACAUAACAUGGUUUUGAACAACUAAAUCGAUGUGGAAGGUCGGACUAAUGGAAUAGAUGAAGGGGCUGGGAUUGAUUAUUAUGGAAAUUAACUAAUUAAUUAUAUCGAGUCACUUGAAAAAAAACCCAGAAAUGCUAUCAAUGUCUCCCCAUGCAUGCAUGGACUCAUUCUCUUUUUAUGUGACGUUUGAAAUUAGUGUCCAAUCAGUACCACGUUCAUUCAGACAGCUACCUGCAAGAGAAAUGGUCUUCGGAAAUAGACAGUGCCAAUUACGCUAAAGAAAGUCCACACAGUGUAUAGUAUCCAAAUUCACCAACAUUGUUAUUGAUCUCAAAUCUUGGCUCCGACAUCCAGUAACAACAAUGGCAAUGAUGCAUCUUCCCCUGUGGUUGUCACUUCUAGUCAUCAUCAUCCUUCCAUCUGUUACUCAGAUGUCCGAUUCUUCAGUUUACUUCAAAGCAACCCAAUUUAGUGCAGGAGACCCAAACUUCUCUUACCAGGGAGACGCCGCUGCUUUCAAUGGAGCAGCUCAAAUAGCAAACAAGCGUACUGAGAUAUUCCGAACAGGCUGGCUCACUUAUUCUGCCCAAAUCCCCAUUUGGGACUCUGCUUCUUCUUCAUCAGGACAAAAAGUCACAGAUUUCACCACUCACUUCUCCUUCAUCAUCGACACCGGCGGCAGCGAUAGGAGUUCCGACGGACUCGCCUUCUUCAUGGGUCCCGCCGGGUUUCAGAUCCCGCCCAAUUCCGUCGGCGGGUAUCUGGGCCUCUACAAUUCAACCACCGUCGACGCCGAAUUUUCUCCGGCUUACUACCAGACCUUGAUUGUGGAAUUUGACACCCAUUCCAAUACCAAAUGGGAUCCUCCAUAUCCUCACGUCGGGAUCAAUCGGAACUCGCUUGCGUCCUCUGUUUCCACUCCCUGGAAUUACAGCUUUCACAGCGGAGAUGUCGCCGACGCCUGGAUUUCUUACGACUCCGCUACAAAGAAUCUCACCGUGACCUGGAGCUACAAAGCCACUUCAAUCCCUGGAGAGAAUUCGAGCCUUUCUCUUGAAUUGGACCUGUCGAAUUCCCUUCCUCAAUGGGUAACGGUUGGAUUUAGUGCGUCUACCGCUAAUUUCGAUGAACAGCAUAGGGUUUUGUCUUGGGAGUUCAAUUCUAGCUUGGGUAUCACAACAGCAGCAAGGAAUUCGAAACCGAAAUCAAAAUCGGUGAUCAUCAUGGCUACUACUGGCGCUGCUGCAGUUGCUUUGAUAAUUGCAGUUGGAUUUUUUAUUCGGAGAAGAAGGAUGUUGGUGCAGCAUCAGCAUCGACAUCCGAUGAUCGGGAUGUCGAUCAACAAAGACUUAGAGAGAGGAACGAGACCGGCGAGAUUUGGGUACGAAGAACUCGCUGAAGUGACAACAAUUUCUCGGAGGAGAGGAAGUUGGGAGAAGGAGGAUUCGGGGCUGUUUAUAGUGGAUAUCUCAGCGGGUUGGAUCUUGCUGUGGCAGUGAAGAGGAUCUCCAAAGGUUCAAAACAGGGGAGGAAAGAGUUCGUCUCGGAGGUGAAGACGAUCGGACAGUUGAGGCACCGGAAUCUGGUGCAAUUGGUUGGUUGGUGCUACGAUCGAGAAGAAUUCCUGUUAGUUUACGAGUUCAUGCCAAACGGCAGCAUCGAUUCGCAUCUAUUCCGCAACAACGAUCAUCCUCACAGCUUCAAUUGGACGUUGAGGUACAAGAUUUCGUUGGGAUUAGCUUCGGGACUGCAUUACCUGCACGAGGGAUGGGAACAAUGUGUGGUGCAUCGCGAUAUCAAGCCGAGUAAUAUAAUGUUGGAUUCGGGCUACAAUGCUAAGUUGGGGGAUUUCGGGUCAGCCAGACUUAUGGACCAUGACCAUGGUGGUGGUGGUGGUGAUUCGAGGACAACCGUAUUGGCAGGAACAUUGGGCUACUUAGCUCCCGAGUGCAUAAGAACUUGCAGGGCUAGUAAAGAGUCGGAUGUUUACAGCUUCGGAGUGGUUCUAUUGGAAAUUGCAACAGGUAGAAAGGUGUUGGAUCCUAUUGAUCAAGAGAAGCCUGAAAUCAAAUUGGUUCCGUGGGUUUGGCAUCUUUACGAAUGUGGGGAACUCAUUUCAGCAGUUGAUCCCAAACUGGGCUCCGACUUUGAUUGUGAACAAGCAGAACGACUGCUCGUUAUUGGGUUAUGGUGUGCUCAUCCUGAUAGCAAAGUGAGACCAAACAUCCAUCCAGCAAUACAAGUUCUCAAGUGUGAGACCCUACUCCCGAUUCUGCCUGCUAGAGGAGAAUCAGUUCCGACAUCACAUUUUCCGGUCAAUCCUCAUGCCACUAAUUCCUCAUCUCAAGGCUCAGUAACCAAUUCUGUCAUUCACAUAGGUCGAUAAGUCAAGAACUUUUUUCUCUACUGGUAAAGUUGUGUGCUGGAGACUCGAAAGUCUCGAAUUCAAAUCCAACACAUCCCACAAACGGACACAAUUAUAACGUUUAUUUUCUCUUUCAAUUGUAUGACCGAGAGGUCUAUGUAACACUUUGGAUGAGAAGUAUCAUGAAGAUUACACUAUACAGAAUUUCAUAAUUGAGCUAACCAGCUGCUGUCGUCUUAUUUAGAGUGUUUUGUGCGUGGCCAGUCAGACAAAUUGGCUCAGAUACUCAUCCACAGUUGUGUACUUGACAUCAGGGUAAAGCUCAGAAGCUUCCACUCCAAAUGACGGUUCAAUCUCGAAGUUGGUGUGAUCUCCCUUGACGAACACCGAGUACCCAAUUGACAGUAUCACAUUCAGGGGAGGUGAAGACUCUGUAGUAACAAAAACCCAUUUCAAAAGCUUCACCCUUUUUCCUGCCUGUUGUGCUUAAAACUGUUUUCCUGAGAUCAUUGUAAUGGACACAGAAAUUACCUCGGAUGUUGUUGAGAAGUUGUUCUUCGGAGAUGUAACUUCUCUCGAGGGUCUUGCCGAUCUUCUUCUCCCACAAGGAAACAAGAUCGUUGAAGGAUAUGGUAUUGGCGGGUGGCCUAAUGUACAAGAUCUUGUUCAACGUUCUUGGAUCAUCCACUGCUUUGAUAGUGUAGAUUCCUAUAUCCUCUUCCUUGUUGAAAAUUGCUGCAUGUAUCGUCCAAAAUCAACAUAUAUGGAACCAUAAUAUAACAUGAAUUUAUGACGAGGAGGGGAAUCCCACAGGAAUACCUUUUGGGGUUCCAUCGCCCAAAAUGACAACUUUAUCACGAGGAGGAGUGGUUAUACCAGGCUGGUUUAGGGUUGGGAGAAAGUAACCUGCAAAGAAGUUACAUGAGACAUAUGUGAAUGGGAUGCCUGCCGCCUCUAUGGCUCGUCGGAUUUUCACUUUGGUAGCAUAUGCAGUUUUUGCUGGCUCUACCGUAUGAACCCGAUCCACAUCGUUUCCAAACUCUGAAGGCAAGAAUCUCUGCAUGCAUUGUAAAUUAGUUAUAACAUUUGAACUGAAAUUUUAUAACAACAAUGGUAAAAUGAGCAAGAACAGAGUGAAUUAUUCAACCUUGAUGUUGCCAGCUUGUUUAAUGGCGGAGAUGAUCUUCUCUUGGUCAACCAGGUGUGCAUGACCAACGGUAGAGAUCACAACAUCCACCAUCUUCAGCACCUUCACCAAAUUCUCGCUAUCUUUCAGAUCCCCCUACCCAAAAUCAACAGAAAUUCUAAUCACCAAUUUUUUAAUAUUCUAUCUAUCUGAAAACCAAAACAGAAUCCAGGAACGAAAAACGUUGAAGGGAUUUAGAAGGAGUGCAACGAAGAGAGCAAGAAGGACAGAAUACAUACAAUGAGGAAUUUGACACCGAGGGAUUUGAAGCUUUCGAUGGCCUUGGAUUUGGUAGGGCUGGUAAGAGUGGACUGCCUGACGAGAGCGUAAGUGGGGUUACCUGCCUUGGCGCUAGCUUCCACUACGUAUCUCCCUAUGUACCCUGUUCCUCCAAUUACUAAAAUCUUCGUCUUCUCUUCUUCCUCUGCCAUUGCCUGGCGCUAUGCUUCUCUGUUUCUCUGUUUAUCAAAAUCUUUAUUUAUGAAUUUUAUCUGUAAGAGACAGAAACAGGUCCUCGCCAGAUCAGGAAAUAACGAUUAGCUCUGCUGCUGCUGAUACGUUUUUUUCUUUCUUGUCAUGGAAACAAGCUAGGUCCCUGCCUAUAAAUAGAGUAACAUUUUACCAAAACAAACAAUAACUAAUAUUGCUUGGUACAAAAAAUUUCACCACGAAAAUUUAUAUAUUUCACGAACAAUAACCAGACAUUAGGAAUUUCAAGUUCAAUGUAUACAUUAUUAAGAUUUAAAGAGACUCGAGGAACAUUAUACCUUCAACAAGGUUCCAAGUAUUAUUUGACAGAAAUCAGUUCUAAUUGGGAAGUAGAGGGCUAAUGAGUAACUUCAGCUAACAGUUUCAAUUUCAUAAGGUAGUCGCUGCUACUGCUAAAAUGCAGUAAGCUCAGACAAAUUGGUCAAGGUACUCGUCCACCCUGGUGUAUUUGACGUCGGGGUAAAGCUCUGAGGCUUCUAUUCCAAAUGAAGGUUCAAUUUCGAAGUUGGUUUGAUCUCCCUUCACGAAAACAGAGUGACGAAUCAAGAGUAUCACAUUCAUUGGAGCUGCAGAUUCUGCCAAAACAUAAAAGAUGCAAAAAGGGAGAGACAGAGUCAACCAUCAAACCAGAUGGUGCUCAGAACUUAACCAAGUUGGGAUUCGAUUCACCUUGGAUGUUCUUCAGAAGUUGUUCCUCUGAGAUGUAAGACCUUUCAACAGUUGUUUCAAUCUUCUUCUCCCACAAGGACACUAGAUCAUUAAGGGAUAUUAUGUUGCCUGGUGGUCUAACGUAUAGAGCCUUGUUCAAAGUUCUUGGAUCAUCUACAGCUUUGAUAGUAUAGGUUGCAAUAUCCUCUUGUUAAAAAUUGCUGCUUACAUAAACAUCACGUUCACAUGGUUACGAAGAAAUUUAUAUAUUUUCAGCCAACGAAUAGUUAUCAAUCGCAACAUCAACAAAUAGCAAAAGAUGACGCCUUUUUUAUAAGUGAUGCUGCCCCAAGAAUCUUGGGUGGGUGUUGUGAAGCAGCAGAACACAACAAUAACCAGAAAGAUCUUAACUAAGCCUUUACCUUUUGGGUUGCCGUCACCAAAUAUAACAACUUUGUCCCGCGGUGGAGUGGUGGCUUCUAGCUGUGUCAACGAGGCAAGGAAGAGACAUCGAAAACAUUGGAGCACACGUACGUAAAUGGAAUUCCAUCAGACUCAAUAGCCCGGCGUACUUUAGCCUUGGCGCCAAAUGCAGUUUUUGCCGGCUCCACAGCAUUAACAUGAUCCACAUCAUUCCCAAAUUCCGACGGGAAGAAUCUCUGUAAACAAAAUUUUGGAAUUCUAUUAAUCAGUAUUAUUUUUCUUCCCGUAGACAAAACGUCGAACACAUAGGAUGCAUGAAAGAAACAGAAGGAGAAAAACAGAGUGAUGGACGGCGAAUACUCGGCCUUAAUGUUACCAGCUUCUUUGAUGGCAGAGACUAUCCGGACUUGAUCAGGAAGUUGAGCGUGACCCAGCGUAGAAAUCAAGACAUCCACUUGCUUUAUCGCCUUCACCAAGCUCUCGUGAUCAGAAAGAUCCCCCUGAAACAAACAAAGUAUUUGUAAGAGACCAAUCUAACUUAAAAUAUAGAAUUGGGAUUGAAAUUGAACUUACGGUGAGGAAAUUGACGCGCCGGGGGUCUUGAAUUUGUCGACGAGGGCGGACUUGUUAGGGGCAGAGAGAGUGGAAUCUCUGAGAAGGAGAAAAGUAGGGUGACACAGAUUUGGCGCUAGCUUCAACUAUGUACUUUCCGAUGUAGCCCGUGCCUCCUAUGAACAGAAUCCGACUCUUGUUAUUCUCCGCUAUUUCUUGGAACUCUGGGAAUGAGAGGCUUAAAGAGCGGUGAAGAUUAUGAGAUCCUAACUGCGAAGCUGAAAGUUUAAAGUUGUAGUCUAAAAUGUCAGCUGCAGUAGACUGUAAGGUUAGCAUGGUCGUCAGCGCGGUCGUCAGCUUUGCCCAAGUGACAUUUUCUUGAUUUUUUUUUAAUUCAGCAGUUUCUGUAUUACUCACUUAAUUUGGUAGUGAUUUGAAAUAAAUUAAACACAAAUAAGUAAAUAACUUAAAUUUUGAAAUAGAAAAUAUUUAAGUAAAAAAUUUUAUUUUUAAAUAAAUUGUGUUUGGUUGGAAAUUUAUGAGAGAUUUUUAUUUAAUUAGAGGGGUGCAAACAUACCUUUACAAAAUAAAAAGGAAAUAUAUAUAAUAUAUAUGUCAAUAUGUGAAAUGUAUAUAAAAAAAAUAUAUUAACACAUUCAAAAUUUACUUAUAACCAUAUCAACCAUAAAAAAAAGUUAAAUUUUGGUUAAUAAUUCCAUUUUGUUUUUCUCUUUUGAAAUUUUUAUCCAUUUAAGUGAUUUAAAAUUCUUUCAGAAUCAUAAAGUAAUUUCAAUCACCUUAACUAUUUUAAAUUUGAAAUAUCCAAAUAAAUAAUUAGGAAUAAAAUCUCUACCAAAAUUCAAAUCAGACAUCCAAAUCAUACAUCAAACAUCCAAAUUGUAAUUGAUUUUUGUUUUUAGUUGAAGUAUUUUCCUUUCUCACUUUUGUGUUGAGUAUAUUAAAAGGGAAACAGAAAAAUCGAUGAGCACCGGACUCGAUGAUAAACAUAAUUGACACAUGACAUUUCUCAUAUUGAUUCAAAUUCAGAAAUUCUCAUUAAUUUUGUCUAACAAUAGUUUUAGCUAUACUUGUGGGCAGUGUAGCUGUCAAGCUGUAAAUCCGGCUUGUAGAAUACCAAAAUAGAUGGUGAUCAUAUGAUUAUUAACUUGGUCACAAUCUAAUACAUUGUCACGCGAAAGGAGAAGCAGAGAGCUAAGCAGCAGGGUGUUCACCAGCUAGCAUCAAGCAAUUAUCAUCGAUCCACUCACAAAUUAAUAACCAGCAGCAGUUAUAUAUAACCUCAACUCGAUGGGUACACGGUACAAACACAGAGAUACACUCAUAAAAGCAGCAGCAGAAGAGAAACCCAAAUUCCCAGCAGCAGUGGAAAAUUCACAACAUUAGACAAACUGGUCGAGAUAUUCAUCCACAGUGGUGUACUUAACAUCAGGGUAAAGCUCAGACGCCUCUGCCCCGAACGACGGCUCGAUCUCGAAGUAGGUCUGAUCACCUAGCACGAACACCGCAUGUCCCAGCGAGAAUAUUAUGUUCAUCGGAAUUGCAGCUUCUGCCAAACAAAAAAUCAACCAUGUCAGCAGUAAAAAAAAAGUGAAAUGGAGACAAAAAGAGGAAUAUUUUAUGAUAUUCAGUUAUUCACCUUGGAUGUUCUUCAGGAUUUGCUCCUCGGGAACAUAAAUCUUCUCCAAAGUUUUCCCAAUCUUCUUCUCCCACAGAGCCACAAGGUCAUUGAAGGAGUAAGUGUUGACGGGAGGCCUAAUGUACACGAUCUUGUUCAACGUUCUGGGAUCCUCUGCUGCUUUGAUCGUGAAUGUGCCAAUGUCUUCCUCCUUAUUGUACACAGCUUUGGCGGUUCCGUCGCCGAGAAUGACGACUUUGUCCCUGGGAGGAGAAGUGGCUCCUGGCUGGUUGAAAUUGGGGAGGAAGUAUCCGGCGAAGCAGUUUGAAGAGACGAUUGUGUAUGGAAUCCCUGCUUCCUCAACUGCCCGCCUGAUCUUCACCUUCUCGGCGAACACCGAUUUGAUCGGCUCCACUGCCCUGCUCCGGUCCACGUCGUUACCGAACUCCGACGGCAAGAAUCUCUGCAUUGUCAAAUAUUAUAUCCAACGUGGUCAAAAAUCGUAAUUCACUUGAAAUUGAAAAUCGGGUUAAAUUGUAAUUAUGGAUUUAAAAAAAAUUAUAGUAUGAAUCACUAAACAUUUAACACAAUAAUAAUGUAUUUAACAUAACUACGUAUAAAAAUGAGAAUUCCAAAUUUAGAGCCAGAGAACUGGCUCGAUUUGAUCCAUCAAAUUUUAACAUCAAUUGUCUAAAAAUUGUAUCAUAAAUCUCACAGCUGAAAAUAUGAGUAUAAAAUUGAUAUUUCAUGUUAAAAUCCUAAUAAUAAAAAUAGUUUCCAAAACCAUACAAAUGUAUAUAUUAAGUACUAUAUUAAAUAGUAUAUUAAGUACGGACUAAAAGAAUUUUCAAAAAUAAAACUAACAACAAUGGUUACGUGGGAGAAAAAAAUUUCAUGAAUGAAAAUUAAAUUGAUUGGAAAAUUGAUUAGGAAACUUUUUAGUGAUCGAACAAUCAAAGAUGGUUACUUUCCGACCUAAUAAAAAUAUGUUAAAUUAUAUAAUUAUAUUGCCCCUACUUAAUCUAAGGAAGGAAAUCCCCUGACUCCAUAAUUGAACUUGUAGUAUGUACAGCUUUAUAUCGGAUCAAGUCUCAAAUCUUUAUAUUAUUGCGGGCGACAUUUUCAGAAUCGUAGAAAUUUUGCAUUUGAGGUUGUUACCUUGACAUUUCCAGCUUCUUUAAUGGCGGCGAUGAUCUUAACCUGAUCGGGGAUUUGCUGGCCAAGUGUGGAGAUGACAAUAUCCACUUGUUUGAUCGCCUUCACCAACCCUUCAUGAUCGUCAACAUCUCCCUGUGAAUCAGAAAACAAAAAAAAAUCACAAUCAUAAGAAAUUGGAAAGAAGCGAAAGGAGUGAGUUUCGUUUCGUUUCCGAUGAAGGGGGGGGGGGGGGGGGAUAAAGAGCGGAAUGAUGGCGGUAAGGAAUAUGGUGUGGUGGAUUUUAUAGGGGAGGGGGGGAGUUUCGGUUGGGCCAUCGAUUCGUGGGAACACGUUAGAAAACCACAGCACCACCAAACCACUUUGUGGUUGGACUUUGAUAUUUUUCUUUCUCUUUUUUUCUGAAGAAAUAAAGGGGUAAAGAAAGACACUUGUUAGUUACGUAAGGAUGAAUCAAUCAGGUAUUGAAACGGGAAUCCGUCCAAGUUCUUAACCACCAACAAAGGUUGGAACUGAGUAGCUGACAAAUGUAAAAUAAAAUUAUUAUUCUCAGUGGAGGCCACUGAUUUAUUUAUAUUUGAUUGAAUGAAUGAAAGUCAUAUGAAUAGUAGCUGGGUUUACGUUAAGUAUGGUGGUGGAAGCUUCUAUUCCUUAGUAGUAAACUAAUACUACGUUUAAGAGGUCAUUGGUCUACGAUGGCUGCUGAUGUGUCCAUUGGUCUGACUUUCUUCACAUAAUAACCUUGGUUUUACGAGUAUUUUAUAUGUUCGAAUUGAAAUGUUACAUAUUAUAGGAUUGUUUGGAAUAUUUUUUACUAUAUCAUUUACAUUUUUAUCAGGGUAAUUUUAUCGCUUCUUUUACGACACGCAAAACUUUUUAUUACCCAUUUAUCCUAACACUAUUACCCGUACUUUAGAUCUCUGUUAUGUAAUUUUCAUUACUUUUUUGUGUAUGAAGUUGUCUUUUCCAUUAUGGAUAACAAUGGUAUGCCCAACCAUUGUGGGUAUAAUGGUAGGUGUCUGGGACCACGUUACUAUGAUUUUUUUUUCUGACUUUAUGUUAAACUUAUUUAUUUUUUUAAUAAAGAAUUUGCUACAAAAGGGUUUUUUUUUAAAAAAUGUGUCACAGUGAAGUUUUCCUAUUUUUUUGAAAGGAGGAAAAACUGCAAUUUUUCUCCUAUUUAUUACGACUAUGAAGAAUUAAAUUAUCGUUAUAUUUAUUUUUUUUUCUACUUCCAAGUGCAGGAUAACCCCAAGAGGUUGCGGGGUUUUUUUCUACCAAUUGGGGCCCUCCUUUUCCUGUGGAGAUGGUCUAUAGGGUUCAUAACUAUUCCUCUUACUACAUGACGUUUAUCUAGCCAACAUUUUGAUCCGGCUCUACCCAAACUUUUUCGGUUCGCCCCAACAUUGUCUACUUGCUCCACUGUUGCUGAGCAAUUUUGAGAUAUUAAACGCCCUCACCCGAAGGUAAUUUUAAUGUGGCCGAUUUGCCCUUUUUGCAAUAAAUUUUGCUACAACACCGACAACUCUAAUUAUUUGCCCACUCUUUUCAAGUGUGAUUUCUAUGUUAUGUAUGGACUAAGAGAGGGAGAGAAAUGACUUCAUCUCAAAGUCAUCAAGUGGUGUCCCCAUAUUUGUAUUCUAUCAGUUGUUAGCGGAAGCAGGAAUGAGGCGUGCCUGGGUGGUUCUAUUCAUUAGUUAGUGGGAUUGCGUGACUUGUCAGCAUCAUCAUCAUCAAAUUCAAUAAAUACCCUUUCUCGGUAAAUCAUCAACCAGUAACCACUACAGACUACUGGUAAUUGGAACUAAUUAAUGACAAAGACGUGACCUUAAUUCACCAGUAGGUCAUCAGUUUAGUAAAUUAUUAUUGCAACCUAAUGCUGACAUUCUAGAUGUAAGUAGUGCCCAGUACCAACUUGAUUUGGUCGCUCAAGAAGGAGUGUUAGAAAGUCACUCGUUUGUGGCUUUGUGCGAUACGUCAAUUCGCUUGACGCUUUCGGCUACUUUGCCACACACUGCUUUUGGCCUCGGUAGGGUGUCGAAAUCCCAUAAUGGUUGAUAUAGUAUCAUGGUUUCGACAAUUUCAUCUCUCAUCAUGCAUAUGCCACGUGUGAUGUGCCCUUGUGACGUGUCAUUCUAAGCUACAAUCUUCAGUCUUCUCAUCUUGAUCUCCAAUCAAUCAUUUUUGUUCCGGAAACAUUGGUUUCGAGGCGGCUCUCGCUUACGUAGCCAUACAACGGGCAAAUCAAAACAGACAUUAAAAAUGUUCAAUUUUCAAAUUUUAAACAAAUCCACCAAAGCCAAAACGUUACAGAGACAUUGAUGAGCUUAACAAUCCAGCCACUAUAAGUUGCAGUCUUCCGCCUCCUGCUCUCUUUCAUAACCUACCAAAAACUUGUCAAACCUUUUCAAAGACAUGAAAUCGUUCAUGAACUACGCGGAGCUGAAGAAGCAAUCCAGUAGCCCCGAUUUGGAGAAAGGGCAGCCAGUAAAAGAAGAUGAUGAUGAUCGCAACCUCCUCAACCACCGAUUCAAGGAAAAAGUGAAGUCAAUGAAGGCAGAAUUGGAAGAUGUCACGAAACUCAUCCGCACCCUGAAGUCCACAGCGAGAAAAGAGGGAAUGAUCAGUACUGACGACGGCAGAGUGAUGAUCAACUCCGAUCAUAUGAUCGCAGUUCUUCGGAAGGCGAAGAGCAUCAAAACGUCGCUGGAGUGGCUACAGAAAUCCAAUCCAGAGCAAGGGGCAGUAACCAAUGAAUUGAGAGGUAAGUUGAUGGAAAUUGUGCAGGAUUUGAUCAGCUUGGAGAUGACUGGCGUUGUUCCGGAAGCGGAGAUCGUGGAGGACGCGGAGUUGGAGGAGCUAUUGGCGGAGAUGAGGGUUUUGGUGGAAUCAAACGGAGAGCUGGAAAUCACAAACAGCAGCAGCAUUGGAGAAGAAGAAGAAGGUGUGAAGAAGAGUGGUGGCGUUGGAAAUGCUAUUGGGGUGUUCUUAGCUGAACGAAUGAAGGAGCAGAGGAAGAAUUACAAGUGUUGGAUUGGGCUUUUCUUGUUACUUGUUUUGUUUAUUUCACUUGCAAGCUUCGCCCCGUGACGGAAAACACUAGUCUUUAUCUUAAGGUGCUGCAUUUUGGCCUUGGGGGUAUACAAAUCUAACUUCAUUUUAUGAAAUCCAGCUUGGAAUUUUAGCUUAAUGCCAAUGCUUCUCUUUUACAAUCAUGAAUCAUUUCAGGGGAUGAGACUUUCAGAGAUGGCUAGUUGUAACUUGAAUGUAUAAGGAUUAUGUUUUCCAAGUGACAUCAUAUUAGUGAGUAUUCAAGUUAGUGCGGUGAAAAACAAGUGCACGAUCGAGCUAACAUAAUGUAAGGAUUAUGUUACUGGAUGAUUUCUGACCGUUAAAAAUUCAUCCAUUCAAUGUAAUUUUUUUGAAGUGGCUCGAAAAUGAACCGAAAGGGAACAAUGCUGAAGUAAACAAAACAAAAUUAUCUGGAAUACAAAAGAGGGAGGGACCCAUAACGUGCCGGAUGGUGCGGGUGUGGCUCACGCGCCCUCCAAUUGCCACUUGAGAAUCAAUCCUUAGCCACGUCAGCCGGAACUUUUGAUUUUCUUACAAAUAAAGACAACUUCCUUAACAGAGUUGGAAACUAGGCAGAUUUGUCGGUCCGAAUAAUUAGGAAGGUCAUGUCGUUAUUUUCUGGUAUUUUUGUGUUAUCUUCGUAUUAACUUUUUCUCAAAAAGCCAUUGAUUAACUUCAGAAGGAUGUAACGGAAAGACUAAAUUGAAGGGAUGUUUCUUAGGAAACAACUUAUCAAGGUUGAUUCCGAGGCACGGCCUCCUGUGGUUCCGACGUACCGGCAGGAGGCUUGUCGGCGGUGACUGCAAGUCUUCGAAAAUGGCCUUCAGGCCAACCCCCCGACGUUCUUGGAGUUUUUUUUAAAUAUUUUUACAGUUUAUUUAGUUUUAAAUCUUUCUUGUAUAAAGUUCAAACUUUGUUGUUUAUGUUACUUAUACAUUAAUACUUCAUUAAUUAUUUUCCAAAUUAUUAUUAUUAUUCCUUCAAAAAGAAAAUAUUAUUAUCAUUAUUCCUGAAUUAACUCAAAUUCAACACGUACAAUCAUGAAAAAGGAAAAAUAUGCAUAGACAAUGAACGUCAAUCCACUAGGGAGGACAUGUGCAAGUAUAACGCUCUGGAUAGCAACGACAUGGGAGUAUACAGUUUGUAUAAGGGUCGCAAAACUUUAAAAAAGGACUAUCUAAUCGUACUUCUUCCCCGCCGUUCGACAUUUUGGAAGAAGUCAAUACGACAUUGGUGGCUCUUCCUUCGACUCCAAUAUUCGACGAUGUGCCUGCAAUGAAAAUCAAACACACAACCAAAAAAACUAGCUUCUUAAAUCCCUUAUCCAUCUUUCUAGAUAGUUGUGUAUGUUUUUUGAGAUGUGUGUGGUAGAAAGGCUUUGGUUUGGUUGGUUUAUAUAGUGUGGAUUAAGAUGGUUGGUAGUGGUAAUGGAUGACAUUUGUUUAAUUAGUAAAAAAUAAUAUGGUAAUAUAUAUUUCCAAAAACCAAUUUGGUAUAUAUUGAGUGAUAUAUGGAUUUAUAGAAAUUGUUGACCUUUUUAGUUAUAUGGUAAGUUCAAGAUAAUAUAAUUUAUUACAAGGAUUUUAUAACUCCUUUUUCCCAUAACAUUUGUUAUAUGUAAGGUAAAAUGAUAAAAUUAUUUUAAUAUUCAUAAAUUAUCCCUGGUUUCAUAUGUGAUGGCCUUGGCCCAAAUUUCCUAAUUACAAACUCACACCCAUCACAAAAUCUAUGGUACAUUUUGGUUAAUACGCGUAAACUCCACUGGCUAUUUUUUAAAGUCGAUAAAAUAAAAUCAAUAUUUACCUCUUUAAAUUAUUGUCAGUGGCCGGUGGGGAGUAUUUUUUUUCUUCGAAAGUAGGACUAUUUAUAUUAUUAUACUCUUGGUCAAAUAAUAUUCAAUUUGUUAAACGAUUCUUAAAGAUUCGGACCUAUAAAAGAGUAGCAUGAGCCACCACAUUUGUACUUCCAAUCAUCCUUAUAAUAAAAAACCUUGAACGAAUGUUAACAUCCCUGGCGCUAAACUCUACCCGAUAACAGAAAACAAAAAAUAAAUAUUCAAAAAAAAAGAAACAUCUGAAACUAAGAAAGCAGUAAACGACCGGUGGAGCCCGAAACACUCGAAGAGGUCGAUACCUCGAGUGAGUUCUUUCCAAUGAAUCACUCCUUGUGGCAAGACCUAUUGUUCAGGCCUGCCUGUCAGGUUCUUUGGGUGUUCCUAGAUACCCUCGAACGUCACCACUAAUUCUUCUUCACCCAACUGCAUUUCUUCUUUUCCUCGUUCCUAUUCAUCAUUAUCUCGUCCUGACAACACCAUUGCCAUCUCCGAUUUGCCACGGAGGGAAGGAAGCAACAACUCCAUCCUUUUUUUGGUUUAAGAAAAAAAUCCUAACUGACUUUUACUUCAAAAAACCCUAACAGUCUUUUGUACUAAAAGAAGAUUUCGCCGAAAGAUAAAAAGAUGAAUGACAAGAGAAAACAAUCAACGACGUUACCGCAAACCUCUCCAUUGAUGGAAUACUAAAUUCUGAUAUGUAAAAAAAAAGAGGAGCGUGGGGGAGCAUAUUUCGGCGUCAACAUUAAAUUGAAGUUGAAUAAAAAUAUAUAACGUGUACAUUAAUUUACUUAAUUACAAACUUUUUACGUACAAAUAUAACGUAAUGAUGAAAAAUGAAUGAAUCACUUCAAACUAUAUAAUAUAUGGGAACAAAUUUCAAAUAAAGAAAUCUAUCGUGAGUGGCCGAUCAAGACUAAUCAACCAGUUUUAAGAUUGAGAAGGAGUGCCAGCUGAGCCAGCUUUGACGAUUUUUGCCCCGAGUCUAAAUAGUUUCGGAGCAGCCCUAAUCCAAUCUCUCCCACCAAUCAUUUUCUUGCUAAAAAACGGCGAAACCUCUCCGGUCGAUAAUUUCUUCGACCAAGCUACCCUCUUGGAUUUAUCAGCUCCCGGUCCGUAAUUCUUGUAUUCCGCAUAGAACGCAGUACUACAUAUGUCCAACACAAGCGGAAAAAAAAAUUGAAAUCAUUGUUUACGCAAAGCUCCGAUCCACAAAUGGAUCUAUUAAUGAACACAUAUACCUUUGCUUGGUGUUGUCUCCCCAAUCACUCCAUCCAGCGGGAAGGACAUUAGAAGCCAUGUAUGAAUAUGCAAAAACAACCCUUGAAUAAGCACCCCAUGGCCUUCCUAGGAAAGUUGGGCCGGUUGCAGUUAUCUUGCACCCCAAGAAAGUGUAUCCAGUUUCGUCGGUCUCUACGUCCCUGUGUUGUGCUGUGAUGAACCCAUUGCUCUCUGAUACUGAAUGGAUAUGGCAUUUCUGCACAACCAACGAAACUUAUUAGUAAAAUUUGGGAGUCUGUCAUCCAAGGGAUCCUUGGCGCAAUGGUAGCACCAGAUCAAAAGGUUGCGUGUACAAUUCAUGCAAGGUUCAAUCUCCCAAUUGGAUUUCUUUUUUCAUUUAAUUUGAAAAAAAUUCGUUCGUGAGCCAAGUUUCAGUUCCAUGUAAGUGGAAUAAAAGAACCAUUGAGCAAAAUUUUCAUUAAUAUAGUCACAAGUAUGUUCGAUUCGAUGGGCUCGUAAGUUGGUUCGAGUUCGAUCUCGACGGCCAACUUGAAUAGCUCGAAUAUAUGGCUAGUUAGUAAACUGAAUAAUAUAGCAUGUGUUCUGCCUAGAAUAAAUCAUAUGUUACUCGUGAUUAUGUUAAUAAAAACAUAAAUGAUAUAUUGUUUAGAUUUAACUAAAUAAGAAAAGUAGAAACUUGUAAAUUUUAAUAGUUUCUUUUUUCAGCUUUAUUUGUUGAUGAUUUUGAUGUACAAAUUUGAACUUUGGCAUAAAUUUGACUCAUCAAUGGGUUUUAAUUAAUGAGCAAAGUUCCAGUUGAGUUCGAGAGUUUGACUCGUUAUAGAUAAUUAACAACGAGUCAUGCUCGAGGUCGACAUAGGCUAAAACUUUCUAGAUUAAACUUAUCUAAAACGUAACGAGCCAAACUUGAGCAUAGUGAAAUUCAACUUUGACUUGAAAUCGUAAACAGCCCUAGCAAAAUUGCAAUUACAAAGGCCAAGUGCUUGUCCGAAACAGUACAUACCUCAAAGAGGGAGGCAGCAUCGCCACAGAUGAAAUCAGUGGCUCCUUCGAUGUAACAGUUGGAAUAAUAAUGGUUGCCGGUAUCGUCCAAGAGAGUGUCCUGGUAGGACAGGAUCCUACACCCGUAAAACGCAGCCCUGUCACCGGAAACCCUUAGAGCCACAGCUCUCCCUCCGCUGCCGUAUGUGUUCUGAACGGUGAGAAAUCGAGCAACGAAGAAAGGCGCGAAGACAGAGAGAGUAGCCGAUUCAAAAAUAUUGUCACCGGACUGGCUCCAUGUGAUCACUGUCGUGUUUGCAGAGACGCCAGAGGUUCCGCUAAGAGUAAUGAACGGCUUGUCUGCAGGGACCGUGACUUUUUCGACGUAGACGCCCGGUUUAACCCAUAUGAAAACCAAUUCCGAGUUGUCGGAUGGAACCGAGCGGACCGCCUCCUGACUCGUGAAUUGAAAUUUUGUAUGAUGAGUUGAAAUAUUUAUAUGAACAAAUUGGAGGAGCGGGGUUGGAUAAUGGAUGAAAGGGAGCCGAUUUCUUGGCGUCGAAGUUGUUUUUCUUAGGGAAAUCAAUUUGGGGGGAUGUUUAACGUAAGUUGCCAUGCAGAAUUAUAUUGUUUAUCCAUGUAUAAUAUUAAUAAUAAUAUGGUUUUUGAGUAGUAGUAAAUUCGAAGGGUUGGUGGAAAUUUGCAGUAUGCGGAUUGCUUGAGAGUUAGAACAACACAGCGGUCAGCAUAAUUUAAUUAAUUAAUUAGUUUUCUUCGUGAAAGCAGAGAGGAAAUGCUGGUGCAUAUACCAAUUGUUUGUGUGUGUACACGGUAGAAUACAUUUUGGGAUGGUGGGCAAAAUUGCAACUGCAGCAAUUACCAGUGUGAUGAGAAUGCAUGAUUCUGCUCCAGAUCAGACGCCGGCGCAGGAUUCAACAAUAAGGAAACAUCCACUUCUUCAUGCCCCUCUCAUCUACCACAUCAUAUUAUAUUAGUGUCGUUUUUCAUGGAUGAAUGAUAGAAAACAAGAUAUAUAUGGGCUUUAAGCCCAUAUACUGGAGAUAGCCUAUGGGCUUUAAGCCCGUUGAUUCCCGCAUCGGCCAUGCCUCUGGUUAGUGAUUACUCGUAUCAGUCGUAUGUUUUCUUUCCAGAGAGUACACGUCAGAGUCAAACUAUGAUGGAAUAUGGAAGAAAGUUCAAAUACGUCAAAUACAGGUCACCCGGUCACCGGCGGCGGGCUGUGGCUGAAGAGAAAAGUCGACCUUUUUAGAACAAGCCGCCAAAUUCGACGACAGUAGAUAGAUCAUAGAUAUUUGAUAUUACUUUAUUUUUCCCUAAGUGGUGGCAAUCAUCAAGAUCCUCUGUUCGAAGAAACAAGUCUUUUUUCUUCUCUCUGAAAUAUUGGGCAGCCGCGGUCGGAAUUUGAAAUUCAAAUCGAAAACAAACAAGGAAGAAGGAAAUGGAAGUGUUGCAGGAAGAAGAAGAGUACAACUGGAAGGAAGUAAAGUUGCCAUCUUUGAUCCCUAAAGUUCCAGAACCAGAGUUGGAGAGAGAGAAAGGGGAAAGGAGGAGAGGCAGAGAUAUUAUCAUAGCGAUUGAUCAUGGACCCAACAGCAAGCAUGCCUUUGAUUGGGCUCUCAUCCAUUUCUCCAGGCUUGCCGAUACCCUCCAUCUUGUUCACGCCGUCUCAAGUAACUACUCUUUCACUCCUUUUUCUUUCUUUUUUUUUGGGUUUCACCUGAUUCAGUUUUGGGGGUUAUUAUGUUUCUGAUGGGAGGCUAAACUGCUGGUUCUCUGUAGGUGUGAAGAAUGAUAUUGUGGAUGAGAUGACGCAAGGCCUUAUGGAGAAGCUCGCUGUUGAGGCUUUUCAGGUCUCUAUGGUCAGUGUCUUCCUUUCUUCCUUUCCUUCUUUCUUUACUUGUUGUCAUAUGCAUCCUUUUCAUUAGCUCAUCCAUCUCUAAAAGACUUCGCAACUUUCACCAUACCAAGCUUCCUUAGAUGGAAAGUUGAUGAAAUUCUGAAUUUUUUUUGAGCUGGAUGAGAAAGUUGGAUUUACUCUAUGAAGUGAUUUUGGAAAGCAAACUUCCCUCCUGCUAUCUAAAUUUCAGUAUGAUAUGAACUAGCGUACUUGUAAAUAGUUAGAUUGCUACCAUAUCCAUGAGUGUUGUUUAUAUGGAAAUCAGAUCAAGAUCUGUAACUUGGAUCCAAUUUAGUUGGUUUGUUAUCUCCAUUCCUCAUUGAUCCUCUUGAUGGCUUUGUGUUUAAAAGCGAAAAUGUAGACAAUUGCCAACUCUAAGUGACUUCAAUUUUGAUCAUUUCCUAGGGUUUGGUUGGACGGGUGGAAAGUUGGAUGGAAUUUGAGCAUUUUCUGGGCGGGACGGGAAAGUGUUUUUGGAGAUCGGACUUUUUUCGUUGCAGUCUAAAUUCCAUCUAAAUUUUUACCUGUCAACCAAAGCCAAGCCUAGGUCGGUCUAUAGUUUUAUAGCUGUAGAUAUGGUAUGAAAGUUUGUCUGAUGAUGCUGUGUUUGGAACCUUUAAAAGGUGAAAAGUGUGGCUAGGAUAGUGCAAGGAGAUGCAGGCAAAGUAAUUUGCAAGGAAGCUGAAAGGAUUAAGCCUGCAGCUGUUGUGAUGGGCACUAGAGGCAGAAGCUUAGUUCAGAGGUAUAAACUUCAGACCUUCGUAACUCUUCAUCGCUUUAACGUUUCGGUGGUCUGAUGUCCGUCUCUUUUGAUUCUCGUAGUGUGCUGCAAGGAAGUGUGAGUGAGUACUGUUUUCACCACUGCAAAGCUGCACCUGUCAUCAUUGUUCCAGGGACAGGUAAGUAACUGACUAACUUCUCAACAUAAAAUAUGAACACGAGAGUUAAAAAGCCUCAUGGAAUUUGUCGUGUUCAAAAAGUUAUUGGAUUAUCGCUCUAUCUGUUGAUCUGCAGAAGCUGGAGAUGAAUCUAUGGUAUCAUGGAACUAAGCAAAUGCAGUACGGAUGUUGAUGGUGAUUCGAGGACCAGUGUGUUGAUGUUGUGUGUUUUUAUCUCGAUUGUUUCGUAAGCUUUCAUUGGUUGACUGGAAGCUUGAAGCAGAUUGAUGUUAUCUCUUGAAUGUAGAGACCGAAAGAAUGAUGCGUUGUUGAUUUGUAUUGCUAAUGAGAGGAUGUAAUGCCUCAGCUGUGUGUAAUGUAAUGAUAUGUGAACAAUUGUUAGUCUUGUUGUCCAUAAACAAACUGAUCACUAGGUAAAACUCACUAGCUCCAAGUAAGCUAAAAACAUGUAAUUUGAACGAGACCAACAAACGACUUUUUAUCUCCUCCAAAUAGCUAAUAACAGAUUGCAACAGCAUGAUCAGUAGAUGACACAAUGUGUGAUAUUUGAUGUUUCCAGAACAAAACAUUUGAAACUGAAAUAGGUUGCGUGGAUAAGGUGGUUUGGUUUGCUUGUUUGUAUUUGUGAAACAAAUAAACAUGUUAUAUAAAUUAGGUUGCGCUCGCCUGUGGAGCUGAUUGAACGUAUCGAUUCGUAUGUUUUUAUUACUGUUUGUAUGUGUUGAACUGUAUGGUAAAAUAUUUUUGUUCUCGUAGAAUUGUGUAUGGUCGAAGUUAACAAAACGCGAUUCAUGUAACGACGGCUCAACACCUAUAACGUAAAUCAAUUUGAAAAUUUUCAAGACUAACAUAAGACAAAGUAAAAUUGAUUUUUAAUUUCAUUUGACCAUUAUCUAAAGGGUUAUCAAACUAAAACUUAAUUUUUUAGUCAUUUCCCACAUGUAUGUCAAAUAUUAGCCGAUUUGAAAAUUUUGAAUUUUUUUUGUGAAAAUGGUCAAAUUUCUAUAGUAUAACACACGGAAAUUAAUCAAUUUUGACAUGAAAAUUGAAAUUUUUUAAAUUGGUUAAUAUUUAUCAUGUAUGUUGAAAAUGAUUAAAAAUUGGGGUUUCACCAUGUUAAGUCCUUUAAAUAAUAGCCAAAUGAAGUCAAAAUNNNNNNNNNNNNNNNNNNNNNNNNNNNNNNNNNNNNNNNNNNNNNNNNNNNNNNNNNNNNNNNNNNNNNNNNNNNNNNNNNNNNNNNNNNNNNNNNNNNNNNNNNNNNNNNUAAAAACGUAUUAACAAAAUAAAAUGAUAAAAUAAUUUAAUCAUGUGAAUUAAAAAGUAAAAAAUAACCUAAAAUAAAAUAAAGAAUAUAGAGUUAUUCAUAUUUUCAACAACAGAUGACAAAACAAAGGAAUUCAAGAUUGUAUAUUUGGUCUUAAUAUUUGAGUUGAGAAAAACGAACAAGCUUCUGCCACGUCAUUGUCUUCAUACUUUGGCAAGAGUCAUCGUUUGCUCGAAAUUACAUAGUGAAAAAAAUCAUCGAUAAUUUCAUUGGUGGAACAGUUUUGAUUUUGAUUUUUUGUAGUGUGAACCCAUAGAAGCAAAAGUGGCCUCCUUUGGCCAAUGGUUUUUCUUGUACCUUUUCCAGAGAGGGAGCAAUAUAUCAAAUAUCAACUAAGCCCACCAUAAAAGAAUACAAAAACUAAUCAAACACCUUAGAAUAUCUUGAGUGUUGCUGAGAUAUUACAGGAUCACAAGCACAGAGAGGGAUGGAGGAUCCACACUGUAAGAAAAGAGAGAAGCAAACAGCGAAAACACUGGAAACAGUGGAGGAAGAUGAGGUGUAUGAUCAUGGUUGGAAUGAUGAAGAAGAAGAACAAAGGAAGAGAAUAUCAGAGCUGGACAUGGAAACAGCACAAGGACGAAGAAGAAGAAAAAUAGUCAGUGGCGGAGAAGGAGGAAGACACAUAAUUGUAGGGAUCGAUCAUGGACCAAACAGCAAGCAUGCUUUCAACUGGGCUCUGCUUCACCUCUGCCGCCAGGCUGACACCCUUCACCUUGUUCAUGCCCUUUCUGGUCAGAUUUCUAUCUUCUUUUUAAUUUAAUGAAGAAUCAUCAUGUACUGUUAUCUUCUUGAUUCUGGAUUUUUGUUUCCCCUGCUGGGUUAAUUAGAUGCAAAGAACAAGCUGCUUUCUGACAUGGCUGAAGGGUUGGUGGAGAAGUUUACACUUGAGGCUUUGAGGAUGGCUAAAGUAUUGAUGAAUUCCUUUUUCUACCCUUGUUAGUUUUAUAAGAAACCUUUAUUUGGGGAAGUUGAUGUUAUGGUGUUGAUGUAAUUAAGGUGAAGGCAGUGGGGAGAGUAGUGGAAGGAGAGGCAAGUAAGGUUAUUUGCAAGGAAGCAGAGAGGCUAAAACCUGUGGCAGUUGUACUAGGAACCAGAGGGAGAUCUCUUUUCCAAAGGUAUUUUUCCUUAAAACGAAAGUUCUAAGAAGAGAUGAGAUUUGCACAGCUUUGAUAAGUAUUUAUGUGCAUAGAUUAGAUGUUACUAGAAGUCAGAACGGAGAGUUUUAGGACUUUUCAAGCUUUCAUACUAUGUGAUGAACCAUUGAUUGCAUUUCAAUAACUCAAGUUAUUAGAAAAGGAGUCAAAUUAGUUUGUAUAUUAUUCAUCAGCACAGUGAGUAUCUAUGUCGUUAUUAACUAUUGCGAUUGUGAUCGGUGCAGUGUGGUGCAAGGAAGUGUCGGGGAGUAUUGUUUCCACCACAUCAAAGUUCCAGUCGUAAUUGUUCCUCUGCAAUGUCAGUGUCUAACUACACAACCUUUCCUUUAUGUUUUCCUCUUUCGGAUCUCUGACACUUUCCAUGGAAAUGACUGUAUAUGAAUGAAGGUGCUGUUGAAGAGCUCAAACAUGAUGGAGGAUGAAAGGGUCAAUUCAUGGUGGAGAAACUAGAGCAGAUCUAGGGGAUCCAGAAGAAGGGUGUUGGUUGAAGAAUGCCAACUGAUUUUACUACUGUGAAGAUGAAGAAGAAAAUCCUUUAAUAUAUGCAACUUGGCUUCAUUGUGCAUUAAUUGUUCAGUUGACUUGCACACAAUUAGGCGUUCUUGGUAAGAAGGGGGGGAGGGGGUUCAGAAUUCUGAAGCUCCCAUGAUAUCACCAGUUCAUUAUUUUAUAAACACAUACCUUCAGUUUGCAUCCAGUUUUUUAGGACUAAAGAACCGAACUUGGGGGUGGAUCCAAAAAUAUGACAUAUAAAAAUAUUGUUUUAGGGUUGGUUCGUAGCAAUUUUCUGGACUAUUUUGAGCAACAAACACAGAAAAGGGCAUGAAUUCAGAGGAAGGUGCCUGGAAAUUGGGCAAUGGGAAAGGUGAUUAAAAGUUAAAACAAGGGGAGUGAAUCAGUUCGGUUAAACCAAAUCCGAAUACAAACCAACAACCACAAAUCGAGUUGGUUGCACAUGGAAAACUCAGACGAGAUCUGGAAGAUCUGCAUAGUCUAACAAAAUCCACUUAUUCAAAGCCCUGUAAAUUUUACAACAAUUUUGACAACGUAAAUUAGCAGUAAACAAACCAUGAUUAAGAGAGAAAUAUGAGCGCACACCAUCUUUGACAAUCCAAGGAAACCAAAAAGAUAUUCAAAGAGAUUUGCUGCUCUCUAAGCUACACAGCUGGUAUUAUUUAUAGGCCUACCGUUAUCUGCUUGGUUGGAGGGAUGUUGACAUCGACAUCGACUGUGAUGCUUUUUCGGUCGUUAUCCGUGUUUUCAUACGUGUGGUUUUUUAGGAACUUUCGUUGCUGAUGUCCACCGUUUUUUGGAUGUUUAGUUUGCUCUGCGUAUCCGUGUUGUCGUUUUUUAAACCGUAAAUUUUGUCGCCAUAUUAUAAUAGACUUUUGGUGUCUUCUAAAAUGUAGUGUAGUAAACCCGUUGAAUACGUAAGGAACCAUUUGUGUCAAUCGCCUAUGAGUGUACAAAUCAAAUCCGAGUUUACUUAAGCCGUGAUUUUGAGAGUAGACACUAAACACUUAUUCUUUUUGUACUUGGAACUUGAAAGAACACCGCGGGUUUAGGAGCUGUCGAAGCCUUGACUUCGAUAGCUGAGGAGCAGUGUAGGAGUCCCGACCUCCGGUCCGAAAUCUGACCAACGGUAUUCGAGACAGUGAGUUCGUAAGCCGCCUCAUGAGCAUCGCUCAGAAACGACCCGUCACAGUUAUCCAUGAGAAUUGUCCAUGGCUGACUAAACUCGGUUACUUGGUAAAAACGGUGGCGUACUUUAUCCUGGUCUUUGAAAAGCGUUGAUCUUUGAAACAUUCACUUUUUCAGACGGACAUCUGACUUUAGACUUCACGGGCCCCCAUAGGCCCACAAACUUUAAAAAAAAAAAUUAUUCCUAGCAACAAAUGAACUAAUUCUUUUGCUGUCCGUUCAUCACGACGGCAACUGGGACUUGUCUAUCUGUCUGCCUGUUAAGAUUCUCUCUCUCUCCAUCUGUAAAAAAUUCAUAAUUUAAUUUGCUCUGUAAGCUGUGAAUAAAACUACUACUGCUAAUCCCAAAUCGCCAUUUCCAUCUCUCUUCUCUUCACUCUGUUUUUCCCUUUUCUUUGUUUCUGUCGCCAUCGCCGUCAUUCCCUUUCUGCACUUAUUGCAGCUCGAUCGUUGAUCGUUGAUAUAGUUAUUCCUCUGUUUCAGAUCCGUACAUGAACGAUCAUCACUGUUCCAUUCCGUAUACAGAGAGAUAGACAGAGAUAUCACAAACAAUCCUGCUUUUGAUUGAAAAAUCAGAGUAACAAUGAGUAGUGGCGAUGGAGGAUGCGAAGUUCAGAUCCAGCACCAACCGAGAAGAUUGCCUGAUUUCCUACAGAGCGUCAAUCUGAAACACGUCAAGCUCGGAUACCAUUACCUGGUGAGUAAUCUCUUGACUCUAUGUCUAAUCCCGUUAAUGGCGGUCAUCGCGAUCCAGCUCUCCCAAUUGGAUCCUGAAGCUCUCCGCCAGCUAUGGCUCCAUCUCAAAUACAAUCUCGUCGCCGUAAUCAUCUGCUCCACUUUCCUCGUCUCCGGAAUCACCGUCUACGUCAUGACCCGGCCCAACCCGGUCUACCUCGUCGACUACGCCUGCUACAAGCCACCUGAGGAGCUCAAAGUCCAGUACAAGAAAUUCAUGGAUCAUUCCAGGCUCACCGGAGAUUUCGACGAGUCGUCGUUGGAAUUCCAGCGCAAGAUCCUCGAGAGAUCCGGCCUCGGAGAGGAAACGUACGUCCCCGAGGCGAUGCUCUUCAUUCCUCCCCGGCCGUCGAUGCAGGCUGCGAGAGAAGAAGCUGAACAGGUGAUGUUUGGCUCGCUCGAUACUCUAUUUGCCAACACGAAAAUCAAACCUAAAGAUGUAGGGAUUCUUGUUGUCAACUGUAGCUUGUUUAACCCUACUCCAUCGCUUUCCGCCAUGAUUGUGAACAAAUACAAGCUGAGAGGUAACAUCAGGAGCUAUAAUCUCGGUGGAAUGGGAUGUAGCGCUGGAGUUAUCUCAAUCAAUUUGGCUAAGGAUCUUUUGCAAGUUCAUAGGAAUACUUACGCAGUUGUUGUCAGCACUGAGAACAUUACUCAGAAUUGGUAUUUCGGGAACAAGAAGGCCAUGCUUAUCCCCAAUUGCCUGUUUAGAGUUGGUGGCUCUGCAGUUCUAUUAUCCAACAAAUCUAACGAUCGGAGACGGUCGAAAUACAGGCUUGUUCAUGUCGUCAGGACUCAUAAGGGAGCCGACGACAAGGCUUUUAAAUGUGUGUAUCAAGAGCAGGAUGAUGCUGGCAAGACUGGAGUUUCUCUAUCGAAAGAUCUAAUGGCAAUUGCAGGUGGUGCAUUGAAGACUAACAUCACAACAUUGGGUCCCCUUGUGCUUCCGAUUAGUGAGCAGCUUCUCUUCUUCAUGACAUUGAUUGCUAAGAAGCUGUUCAAUGCCAAGGUGAAGCCAUACAUACCGGAUUUCAAGCUCGCUUUCGAGCAUUUCUGCAUCCAUGCCGGAGGGAGAGCUGUGAUUGACGAGCUAGAGAAGAAUCUGCAGCUUCUUCCCCAGCAUGUGGAAGCGUCGAGGAUGACCCUGCAUCGAUUCGGGAACACUUCGUCGAGCUCGAUUUGGUACGAGCUGGCUUACACGGAGGCUAAGGGGAGGAUGAGAAGAGGAAACCGGGUGUGGCAGAUUGCGUUUGGGAGCGGGUUUAAGUGUAACAGCGCGGUGUGGGAAGCGCUGAAGAAUGUGAAGCCUUCGGUUGAUAAUCCGUGGGAGGAUUGUGUGGAUAGGUAUCCUGUUGAGUCAGUGUUCGAACUUUCUGAAGCAGCUAAAGGGAGUUGAUCAUCCUUAAGAGAUUGUCAGAAAUGUGAACAGGUAUAACUGUGUGUUAAUUUAUCAUUGUACUUGAGUUAGCUAAUGAACGAUGGCCAUAAAUUGGAGGGUGAUCCUCUGCUUUCUCUGUUUUCUUCUUUCAAUUGAUGUGGGAUCGUAUUGUAGUUUGAGGAUAGUGCGAAUAUGGAAUUGUAUGGCAGUUAGAGUGAUGGUUGUAGUCUGAAGAAUGGUUGUGAGAUUCUGGAGUUGAUGCAGCCGUCUUUCAUAAAUUCAUAUCUGAUUUUCCUUUCCUUAUGUCUCAACUGAAGAUGAUGGCUUUGUUGUUCUCUCCAAUCCUUAAGGGACCAAAGAGUUUGUCGUGGGAAUUCGAUGCUACGGGGUUUCUCCUUUGUUUCUCGCUCGAACAAACAAACCUGUUGGACCGAGAGAAAAUUGCAUUAGAAAAUUUCAUUAGAAUCGAUCUCAACACGUUUUGAUAGAUGUAAAAGAGUCUUUCUCGCUACUAAAUAGGCAGCUCUGUUCGCAUCACGGCGUAUAACAUUUACUUGUAAAUGAUGUGCCGCCAAAUAUGCCAAAAUUUCAGCAAUAAUAUCACCCUUUAAAGCUUUACAUCUUCUUUAACAUUCAUCUUUCAAAUUCCCCAUCAAAAACAUCAUACUUACACAUCUCAGAACAGCCAAUUCCCUGCAAAACCAACCCUCUACAUCACCGCUAUUUGUGUGGACUGUGGGUGGAUCAUGGAUGGCUUUCACAGUUUGACUUCUAGAUGGCGCAUUUAUGCUCCGCCAUCACACGUCUUCAGUUCAACCAACGUCGCGUUCUUGGAGAGCUACUUAAUAACUUUCACCUAAUUAAGUUGGUACGUGAUCGCGCAAGUUGGCACCAAUUUUUGUAGCCCGAAAGAUAUAUUAUGGCUAGCUUGGUUUUAGUGUUUUUUUUUAUAGGUAGAUUUCGAUAGGAGAGAUCGAAAUAGUAAACUCAAAAAAAUUAAUCAUCAGCCCAUCUCGUAGGAUCGCCCUUUAUACGGAUUGGGAGAUAUGAAAGAUCUUUUCUCGUCACUUUAUGGACAGUUACAUUGGUUUGGGCCUCCCUUCGUAAACUUUCUCAUUGGCUUUUGGGAGACACGACUCUUUAAUUGAGAUUACGAUUCGCAAACCCUUAAAUAACCCCCUUUCUUGGCCAUUGUACUACCUUCAUAUAACCGUUUAAUUGUCUCUCAUGUCACUGUACUACUCUCCGUUAAUUUUCUGACGUUUAAAUGUACUUCGCAUCUUCACCAUACUUUCACCAUAACGUUUCCGUGGCAUAGCGCGGGCUACUUCUAGUUGUAACAUAGAUUCACAACUUUGCGACAAAAUAGUCAGAUAUAAUGGCGGAUACUGGGGGACGUACGUAACCCUAUGUCUCGCGGCCCACCCAUUUUCAUAUCUAAAACUUAGAUAUAUAGUAUGUACUUUUUCACUAUAUUUAUUGGUGGAUAGUUCUUCUGUCUAUAUACAAUCCAAUGUAUUUUAACUUAUAUACCACUCAAUUGAGUUGUACCAUUAUAGAUCUGCACUCAUUGACACUAGCGACAUAUACAUAUAGACAUCAUUUGUUAUGAGGGAAGGUAGAGUUGGUAAAACUAAUUGGGGUCUUGAAGAUUGGGUAAUCGAGUUUUUUUACCGUAUUGAAGUAUUUGUACUCGUUUUGUUUUGUGUAGCGGAUUAUUUGCCGUGGUUGAGAUGGAUGAACAUUGAUGGACAGGAAAGAAUCGUUAAAGAGGCGAAUUCGACGUUGAGGAUUUACCAAGACCCGAUUAUUGAUGAGAGGAUCCGAGUUUGGGAGAGAAAUGAGAGGGAGGAGAUGGAUGAGUUGACUGAUGUUUUCAUUACUCUCAAGGAUGGUAAUGGCGACUCCUUGCUCACUGAUAUAAUUGUUCAAUUAGCACAUAUCUAAUCCCUAGCCUUAGAAUGCUGCAACAUUUUAGACUAUGGCAGCGCUGAUCAACCAACCGGAUCUCCUCGCCAAGGCAACCGAGGAAAUCGACCGGGUCGUCGGAAAAAACCGGCUGGUCCAAGAGUCCGACAUCGGGAGCUUGAACUACAUGAAGGCAUGUGCUAGGGAGUCAUUUCCGCUGCACCAUAUGUUACCAUUCAACGGACCGCACGUAGCCACUCAAGACACCGUUGUCGCCGGCUACUUCAUUCCCAAAGGAAGCCACGCGCUCCUCAGUCGCUACGGCCUGGGCAACCCGAACGCCUAGACCGACCCCCUCAAAUUCGACCCAAACCGACACCUCAAUGGUGACGACGUUGUCCAGUUUGGUGAGCCCGAUCUGAGGUUCAUAUCUUUCAGCAUGGGACGUCGAGCAUGUGUGGCGCCGCUACAGUGCUUCACUUGGACCGUACCGGGGGACAUCCAAACCGUCGAUCUGACGCAAGCAGAGGAUGAGCUUAUCCUAGCCACAAGUGUGUUUCCUGUCCCACGUUUGGCUCCUCAUUUAUACCCUUACACUCUCCUAAAACAAUGUGCACUAGUGUUGUUGUCAAAUAAAGACUAACAAUUGAUUACGUAAAUCAAAUGUUAAUACCUAAUAAUGUGACUCUUGUGCCGUUUUUUACUUUCUCUAUAACAAAUUUUUGAGUAUUUCUAAGUCCAUAGACUUGUUCAUCUUUGUGACUUAUUUUCUUCAAUUUUUUCAUUGAAUAAUUGCUGAUUUUGUAAACUUUUAGCCGGAACUCUACUUGAGCUGCUAGGGGAAGAACAGUUCUUAUCAGAAAGCAAAAUGAAGAUCUGUAGUCUCUCAAUUCAUUUUCUUACAAUCCAAUCCAUCAGUAUGGAUUGAUCAAAGAAAGGUGAAAAGCAUACGACAAUCUGAACAAGAACCAGAACGAGAACCAGUGAACAUAACAAGUACGCAACACAAUCAUACCAAACAGGAUACCACUCAAAGACCUAAUUCAACAUAGCAUAGCAGCACAGCAUUCGAUAACCAGCUUUCCCCCUAAGCUAAUAGGCCAAACUAAUUCCUCCAGUUUCCAUCCGAGUCGCCGCCUCCCCUAGAGUAACGAGAUCCGCCACCACCACCACCAUAUCCACCCUCACGCUGCCCACCGCCGUACCCACGCUGCCCACCUCCGUAUCCACCGCCGCCGCCGCCACCGCGGGGUCCGCCACUACGGAAACCACCUCCCCCGCCGCCGCCUCCACGGGACUGAGCCUCGUUGACAGUAAUGUUCCGUCCGUCAAGAUUCUGGCCAUUCAUCCCCUCGAUGGCAUCCCUCAUCGACUUCUCGUCACUGAAAGUGACGAAUCCGAAACCACGUGACCUCCCGGUUUCACGAUCGUUGAUGAUCUGUACAUGCCACAACAACAAUUUCGCAGAUCUGUUAGACAUCCGAUCGAAAAUACUGAAACAGAUCGGGGAGAGGAAAGUCUCAAAACCACUGGUAAUAAUUGAACGAGAAUCGAAGAAAAUUAUAUAGAAUUGGAAUAAAAAAUUUAAAUCGAACGGUCUCCUCCCAAAGGAUGAAGAUGAACGUACCGAUUGCGUGAGAGUUUAGUGAAGAGUAACAUGAUAAAACAACGAGAGAGAACAGAGUAACACAGAAUAGUAACAGAAACAGAUCGGAGAGAGUAACAGAUCCUGGAUCGACAUAGCCGAGUGGCGUCGGAGGUCAGAUCCAAUCCCUGGGAGUCACACAGGUGACAAACGGACCUUCGAUUCGACGAUUUGGCCAUGGGUGCUGAAAGCUUCAUAGAGAGCAUCGUCGGUGGUAGCCCAAGCGAGGCCACCAACGAAGCAUCUGUACUCGGUAUCAGGAGCAGCCAUUAUAUCUUUUACUGGUAAGAGUAAGAUUUGAAUCAGUGAGGUGAAGAGAAGGAUGAGGCUGUUGUGGAAAUGUGAGGUAGAUCGGGUAUGAAUUUAUAGGGUGGAGGAGGUGCUAACUAUGGUUAGUUUCUGAGUAAGGUGAGUGCGUUUAGCGCAAUGUGCGGCAUCGGUCCCGAUUCUCCGUCCACAAUUUUCAUUUUUCUAAAUUUGUCACAUUAUAUUUAUUUUGAUAUUUUCCGUAUACUUUUUCAUAUCCUUUCAACUCGAUCAAUUUGGAUCAUAAACAUUGUAGCAGUUCGUUAAGGAUUAAGUUUAUCAAGCAACAGAGCUAUCAGCUCGAUGGUGCAUCAUACUUGCGGGUCCCUGAUCUCGACAACAUGUUAUGUCUUAUCACAUAUAAUCGGUUCACUAAUAUUAGCCAAGCGGUCUUUGCGGCAGACGUUCGGUUUCAUAAAUAUUUUACGAUUCUCUAUGAUUCAGCUGAGGCGGUGCGUUUCAUCAUCUCAUCAUCCUACGAUAUUUGAAUAGGCCAAUUAUUUUCAAAAUGUCAUCUUCUCCGCUCUUUACCUUUGAUAACUCUAACGUUUGUUUUUCGUUUUGAUAACUAUACUACUUAUUUAAUGACACAUAAAGUUAUAUAUUAUCUAAAUAUUAUUAAUCUUCAUUUUCUUUUAUACGAAAUCUCCUAUAUAACCUUUUAUUUUAUUUAUGUAUAAUAAAACCUUUCUUAGGAAUAAAAAAAGAGUAUGAUAUAUUUCUAUUUUUUUCAGGUAAAUGAUAUUUUGUCAUAAAAAAUUGGGUAGAUCGGUUAUAAUAAUAGAUUAAUAUAUUACGAUGAAAGGGUGGUGCAUGGCCGGCCGGUGAGAUUGGACUUAACCAUGGUUAGGAUAUUAUUUUCUAAAUUGAGUAGAAAAAUAUCUAGGUUGGUUAAGUGUGAGACCCACUUGUUUUCAUCAUCAAUUUUGCUGAUUUGUUUGUUUGUGAAUAACCCGAUAGGCACGUGAAACGGUGAGAGGUUGCGCUGAUAUUUUCAUUUCCGUCUCACAAAAUAUCUUACCUCGUUAAAUUACGAUAUUAUCCCCUCUCGCCCUCUUAUACCCGUUCAAGCUCGGCUCUUCUGGUUUACAGGCUCGAGCACCAGUUCCAUUCAAACAUGACAAUUGAUUUUAAAGUCUUACAGAUCUGAUUUACAAAGUCUUAACAAGUAGGUUAUUGGCUCAAUCUCGAGCUUAACAUUCACAAAACUUAUAAACCCAACUCAUAUAGUAUUUAGUUAUUCAGAGUUUAAGUCAACAUUAUUCAUCGUCAUGUUAAUAAGAACAAUGAAACAAUUUUCUCUAUAACCAAAUCGCAAAUUACACUAAUCGAGCAUCACUCGAGCUAAGUAUGGCACUGCGUGCUUUUAGCUUUCUAUCAUAUACGGUCAAUUACAUAUUAUAUGUGGCUUCUAUGUUCAUGGGAUCAGGAAGGAGAUGCUUGUGAGUUGAAGACAACAUAGACUUUUAGGCCUUUUUAAGUUCUUCCUCUUCUCCUAGUGGUACUCCAUUGCCCAUCAUCAAAUGCUCAGAAUUCAAAGUUCGAAGUACGUUUGGUGAAUUGAGUGUUCUUCCUCAAGAACCUUAAGUUUUUAGACUUACCAUUCAAACUAAAACGGAGUUUAUAUCAUUGCAAUUGGUGUAUAGCCUGUAGAGUAAAAUCGACUGUCCAUAACUUGCCUUGACAAUUAUGUUCUCCUUCAUGAAAACUAACUUUCAAUUUGGGGGUGGGGGUUUGGAAUUUGGUUAUCAGCCGUGAUUUGUGAUUGUUUCCCGUUACUAUUGUGCAACCAUUCAAACGAACUUGCAACAUCAUUACUCUUUUGAACCAAAACCAUAAACGAAGUUGAAUUCCAGAACCAGAGCAAAACACAGAGAAAACGGACUAGAUAGCAAGAUCCCCACAAACGGAACCAGAAAACCCACGACACUCAACUCAUCGACAAAAACAUUCGACAAUCCAAAAACCACAGCCACCCCUCACCCACUAACUAAGCUAAUGAUCCCAUCUAAUUCCUCCAGUUUCCACCCGAGUCUCCGCCGCUCCUCGAGUACCCAGACCCACCAUCACCACCGUAGCCACGGUCACGGCCUCCACCGUAGCCACCGCCAUAUCCUCCAUCACGGUCACGCCCACCACCGCCAUAUCCCCGAUUGCCACCCCCGUAUCCACCGCCACCACCACCGCUUCCGUAUCCACCUCCGCCACCGCUUCCAUAUCCACCGCUACCACCUCCGCCCCUGUUGUAACACUCCGCCACCGCUUCCAUAUCCACCGCCACCACCUCCGCCUCUGUUGUAACCUCCACCACCACCACCGCCCGAACGAGACUGUGCCUCGUUAACGGUGAUGUUACGACCGUCAAGAUUCUGGCCGUUCAUCCCCUCGAUGGCAUCCCUCAUCGACUUCUCGUCGCGGAAAGUCACAAAUCCAAAGCCACGGGACCUCCCCGUCUCGCGAUCGUUGAUAACCUGACCCACGUAAACAUUUCACAGAAUUGUCAGAUUCAAACAGAAUUAUACUCGGAUCCGGAAAGUUGACGAUUCGAGAAUUAACAAAACAAUUAAUGGAAUAAGCAAAGCAAAAUUCGAACGAAAUCUCCUCCCGAAGGAUGAAGAUAAACGUACCGAUUGCCGAUUGGGGCGAUAGUUUAGAGAGUAACAUAAAACACACAGAAAGAACAGAGUAACACAGUAACAGUAACACAAAGAGAUCGGGGGAUCCUGGAUCGAAACAGCCUAGCGGAGUCGGGUGAGAUCCGAUCGCUGGGAGAUCACAGGUGACAAACGGACCUUCGAUUCAGCGACAUCGCCAAAGUUUCUGAAAGCCUCAUAGAGUGCAUCGUCGGUGGUAGCCCAGGCGAGGCCACCAACGAAGCAUCUGUACUCACCAUCAGCCAUUAUUUUGUGUUGGAAUUUGGAAGAAGAAUAUCGGUCGAUAAACAGAAAUGCAGUGUGUGCGAGCUGAGGCGAGGGUUUUGUAUGGUUUUAUAGAGUGGGGAGGGGAGGAGGAGGCCUAACUAGGGUUAGUUUCUCGGUGAAACCAGUGCCCAAUACGCAUCGUUUGGAGGCCAUUUAUAUUUGGAUAAACACUGAGAUAUAUGUUCAUUUAUAUUUAUUUAUAUGCAGAAAUACUAGAAAG